rnacentral:sRNA from 1 species
AAAAAAAAACACUACACACUAACUGUGGAUUGUCUUUAGACUAAAUCCACAGCGCUUUGUUGUCCGCCCCAAAAAUAAUAUGGAUUACACCGCUGACGGAUUAGUCCGCACUAACCACAAGAUCCAUUCAAAACCUAAGUUGAAAUGAUAAGUACCUCUAAAAUCCAUAAAA